rnacentral:rRNA from 1 species
GACGAACGCUGGCGGCGUGCCUCAUACAUGCAAGUCGAACGCAGUGGGGACGGGUGAGUAACACGUGGGUAACCUCCCAUCAGAGGGGAUACCACUUGGAAACAGGUGCUAAACCGCUACUGCUGGAUGGACCCGCGGUGCAUUAGCUAGUUGGUGAGGUAACGGCUCACCAAGGCCACGAUGCAUAGCCGACCGUAGAGGUGUAUCGGCAACACUGGGACUGAGACACGGCCCAGACGCCGACGGGAGGCAGCAGUAGGGAAUCUGCGGCAAUUGACGAAAGUCUGACCGAGCAACGCCGCGGGAGUGAAGAAGGUUUUCGGAUCGUAAAACUCUGUUGUUAGAGAAGCGGUAUCUAACCAGAAAGCCACGGCUAACUACGUGCCAGCAGCCGCGGUAAUUC